GUGUACCAGUUGUUCUGCCAAGGGCAUCGCUGGGUAGCUAUGUGCGGACGGGAUAAGUGCUGAAAGCAUCUAAGCAUGAAGCCCCCCUCAAGAUGAGAUUUCCCAUUCCGCAAGGAAGUAAGAUCCCUGAAAGAUGAUCAGGUUGAUAGGUCUGAGGUGGAAGUGUGGCGACACAUGGAGCUGACAGAUACUAAUCGAUCGAGGACUUAACCUAAA
rnacentral:rRNA from 1 species